ensembl:lncRNA
UUGACCCCUCCCCCCCGAGAUAUCAAUGGGACUACAUUUCCCAGAAUCCACUAGAAGCUAGGGUGUUUAGCCAUGUUGAAUGUCUGACCUGAGGCUGGGGUCGGAGCUUCCCAGGUUGAGCAGGGCGAGGUUCAGCAGGGUACCCGGCACAUCUUUGGGCCUGAUCUUGGUGUGCUGGGGGAUGGAGUCUGGCUGUGAGAGCUCCCAGCGCGUCCUGAUGUGGAUGAUGGACUGGACGAUGGCAUCACACUCCUGGUGCAUGAAGGUGAGGGGUGUGCCCUGGUUGGCCAUGGUCAGGGUGAACUGGGUCUCGUCCACCAGGCAGAUCUCCUCGAUUUCAGAGGCAUAGUACACAUCAUUGAGGAACACCGACUGACCCAGGACACGGGUACGCUCUGCUGAUGUCACCUGGACGGCCGUGGAGCCCACCUGGGAUAAUAGGGAGGGUUGUUGUUGAGAUAAGUGUGUACAUGUCAACAAUGACAACACAGACCAGUUGUCUCAUGUUGCUACACAAAGCAGGACUCAACAGCCAAUCAAUUCAACCUUCUACUUUCCCUUCGGCAACAAACUAAUCUAUAUAAAUUGAUUGAGGCCCAGAGAAGUAAAAAAUUUUAUUUUCCUGUGUUAUAUAUAAACUCAGCAAAAAAAGAAACAACCUCUCACUGUCAACUGCGUUUGUUUUCAGCAAACUUAACACGUGUAAAUAUUUGUAUGAUCAUAAGAUUCAACAACUGAGACGUAAACUGAACAAGUUCCACAGACAUGUGACUAACAGAAAUGGAAUAAUGUGUCCCUGAACAAAUGGGGGGGGGGUCAAAAUCAAAAGUAACAGUAAAUGCAGCUGGUGGCCACACCAGAUACUAAAUACUGCAUUGCAUCUCCUCAUCAUCAUGGACUGCACCAGAUUUGCCAGUUCUUGCUGUGAGAUGUUACCCCACUCUUCCACCAAAGCACCUGCAAGUUCCCGGACAUUUCUGGGGGGAAUGGCCCAAGACCUUAUCCUCCAAUCCAACAGGUCCCAGACGUGCUCAGUGGGAUUGAGAUCCGGGCUCUUCGAUGGCCAUGGCAGAACACUGACAUUCCUGUCUUGCAGGAAAUCACGCACAGAAUGAGCAGUAUGGCUGUUGGCAUUGUCAUGCUGGAAGAUCAUGUUAGUAUGAGCCUGCAGGAAGGGUACCACAUGAGGGAGGAGGAUGUCUUCCCUCUAGCGCACAGCGUUGAGAUUGCCUGCAAUGACAACAAGCUCAGUCCGUUGAUGCUGUGACACACCGCCCCAGACCAUGACGGACCCUCCACCUCCUUGCAGCAUGCCUAAGGCACGUUCACGCAGAUGAGCAGGGACCCUGGGCAUCUUUCUUUUGGUGUCAGUAGAAAGGCCUCUUUAGCGUCCUAAGUUUUCAUAACUGACCUUAAUUGCCUACCGUCUGUAACUUGUUAAUGUCUUAACGACCGUUCCACAGGUGCAUGUUAAUGAAUUGUUUAUGGUUCACUGAACAAGCAUGGGAAACAGUGUUUAAACUCUUUACAAUAAAGAUCUGUGAAGUUAUUUGGAUUUUUACAAAAUGAUCUUUGAAAGACCAGGUCCUGAAAAAGGGCUGUUUCUUUUUUUUGCUGAGUUUAUAUAAAUAUGUAUAUUUCUACACUGAGGUUGGAAUAACACUGUAAAAUUGUGAAAAUGAUGAAGCCCUUUGAAUGUAAGAGCUGUUUGAAAAGACUACCUGAAAUUUCAGCCUGUUUUGGUGCGACAGAGAUGUGACCUUUCCAUGCUGUAAAUGAGUUAAUAGACCAACAAUAAUUUCAGUUGUUUUCCCCUGCCCACUUGGACCACUCCCAGACAGUUCUAUCAAAAUGAAUGCUGAGAACUUGCCCUUUGCUAAGAACUUUUUUUGACAAUAUACACUGCUCAAAAAAAUAAAGGGAACACUAAAAUAACACAUCCUAGAUCUGAAUUAAUUAAAUAUUCUUAUUAAAUACUUUUUUCUUGACAUAGUUGAAUGUGCUGACAACAAAAUCACACAAAAAUUAUCAAUGGAAAUCAAAUUUAUCAACCCAUGGAGGUCUGGAUUUGGAGUCACACUCAAAAUUAAAGUGGAAAACCACACUAAGGCUGAUCCAACUUUGAUGUAAUGUCCUUAAAACAAGUCCAAAUGAGGCUCAGUAGUGUGUGUGGCCUCCACGUGCCUGUAUGACCUCCCUACAACGCCUGGGCAUGCUCCUGAUGAGGUGGCGGAUGGUCUCCUGAGGGAUCUCCUCCCAGACCUGGACUAAAGCAUCCGCCAAUUCCUGGACAGUCUGUGGUGCAACGUGGUGUUGGUGGAUGGAGCAAGACAUGAUGUCCCAGAUGUGCUCAAUUGGAUUCAGGUCUGGGGAACGGGCGGGCCAGUCCAGUCCAUAGCAUCAAUGCCUUCCUCUUGCAGGAACUGCUGACACACUCCAGCCACAUGAGGUCUAGCAUUGUCUUGCAUUAGGAGGAACCCAGGGCCAACCGCACCAGUAUACGGUCUCACAAGGGGUUUGAGGAUCUCAUCUCGGUACCUAAUGGCAGUCAGGCUACCUCUGGCGAGUACAUGGAGGGCUGUGCCGCCCCCCAAAGAAAUGCCACCCCACACCAUGACUGACCCACCGCCAAACCGGUCAUGCUGGAGGAUGUUGCAGGCAGCAGAACGUUCUCCACGGCAUCUCCAGACUCUGUCACGUCUGUCAGUGUGAACCUGCUUUCAUCUGUGAAGAGCACAGGGCGCCAGUGGCGAAUUUGCCAAUCUUGGUGUUCUCUGGCAAAUGCCAAACGUCCUGCACGGUGUUGGGCUGUAAGCACAACCCCCACCUGUGGACGUUGGGCCCCCAUACCACCCUCAUGGAGUCUGUUUCUGACCGUUUGAGCAGACACAUGCACAUUUGUGGCCUGCUGGAGGUCAUUUUGCAGGGCUCUGGCAGUGCUCCUCCUGCUCCUCCUUGCACAAAGGCGGAGGUAGCGGUCCUGCUGCUGGGUUGUUGCCCUUCUACGGCCUCCUCCACGUCUCCUGGUAGCGCCUCCAUGCUCUGGACACUACGUUGAAAGACACAGCAAACCUUCUUGCCACAGCUCGCAUUGAUGUGCCAUCCUGGAUGAGCUGCACUACCUGAGCCACUUGUGUGGGUUGUAGACUCCGCCUCAUGCUACCACUAGAGUGAAAACACCGCCAGCAUACAAAAAGUGACCAAAACAUCAGCCAGGAAGCAUAGGAACUGAGAAGUGGUCUGUGGUCACCACCUGCAGAAACACUCCUUUAUUGGGGGUGUCUUGCUAAUUGCCUAUAUUUCCACCUGUUGUCUAUUCCAUUUGCACAACAGCAUGUGAAAUGUAUUGUCAAUCAGUGUUGCUUCCUAAGUGGACAGUUUGAUUUCACAGAAGUGUGAUUGACUUGGAGUUACAUUGUGUUGUUUAAGUGUUCCCUUUAUUUUUUUGAGCAGUGUAUGUAUGUUUAUUUUUAAACUUUUACCCCUUUUCUUCCCAAUUUUGUGGUAUCCAAUUGGUAGUUACAGUCUUGUCCCAUCCCUGCAACUUAGGACUCGGGAGAAUCGAAGGUCGAGAGCCAUGCGUCCUCUGAAACACGACCCUAUCAAGCUGCUCUUCUUCUUGACACACUGCUUGCUUAACCCGGAAGCCAGCCUCACCAAUGUGUCAGAGGAAACACAGUACAACUGGAGACCGAAGUCAGCUUACAGGUGGUUAGCCCGCCACAAGGAGUCGCUAGAGCGUGAUGGGACAAGGACAUCCUGGUCGGCCAAACCCUCCCCUAACCCGGACGACAAUGGGCCAAUUGUGCGCCGCCUCAUGGGUUUCCCAGUCACAGCUGGCUGUGUAGUGACGCUUCAAGCACUGCCAUGCAGUGCCUUAGACCGCUGUGCCACUCGGGGGGCCCUUUUUGACCCUUUUAGUUCAAAACAAUCACAGUAAGGUACUUAAUUAUUACCCAGAAAUGAUUUGAUAGAGAUUAAAAUAAACAGCUCCAUUGGACCUUUGAGUAAACAAUUCUCCCUGUUCCCACGUGCCCUUCAUACUACCCAGUUGUCCUUAUAGGCCAGUUUGAAAGUUAGGGUUACACAAGGACCACUGUGCUACUGACCUUGAUGGAGACCUUGGUGUCCUUGUGGGCCAGUUUGAGGGCGUUGUGGAACACCUUGAGGUCCUCUUCCAGGGCCAGCGUGGCCGCUGGGAGUUUCUGCUGCUCUGCCUCUACGUGCUCCGCCAACCGUGCUGGCGAGUCGAUGAACUGCACCCGCUUGCUGCCCUUCAGGCCUGUCAGCAGCCUCUCAUGGUAUUUGGUGUACUCCCUCACCCAUGUGUUGCAGUUGUACACGUAGACCGCCGUCACGUUCUUGUAUGCGAAGCCCGGGAACACCACAAACCACUUGGACAAGAAGUCUGUCUUGAAGCGGUUGCUGGGACCCACGUGGGUCAGGUCCACUAUGAUAUCGUAGGGCUUGGCAUAGUAAGGCUUCAGGGUAAGCAGCACAUGGUAGAUUAGAAGAUCUCCGUUGAUCUGGCCUGUCUUAAACCUGCGGGAAGAGAAGGAAAAGAGAAGUUGAGGAUAGGUCUGAUGGAAGAGGAGGUGGUAGAGGUUGAGGAUAGGUCUGAUGGAAGAGGAGGUGGUAGAGGUUGAGGAUAGGUCUGAUGGAAGAGGAGGUGGUUAGAAGUUGAGGAUAGGUCUGAUGGAAGAGGAGGUGGUAGAUGUUGAGGAUAGGUCUGAUGGAAGAGGUGGUGGUAGAUGUUGAGGAUAGGUCUGAUGGAAGAGGUGGUGGUAGAUGUUGAGGAUAGGUCUGAUGGAAGAGGUGGUGGUAGAUGUUGAGGAUAGGUCUGAUGGAAGAGGUGGUGGUAGAUGUUGAGGAUAGGUCUGAUGGAAGGGGAGGUGUUAGAGGUUGAGGAUAGGUCUGAUGGAAGAGGAGGUGGUUAGAAGUUGAGGAUAGGUCUGAUGGAAGAGGAGGUAGAAAGUGCACUUCUCUGCCAGCCAGGUCAACCUCUAAAAAGAAAGACCUUUACCGGUUAAAUACAUCCAAAAAGACACAGGUAUUUUCUGGUCUCUUUAAUUUAGAUAGAACAGUCUGACGGUGGAGUCAUACAGGUAAGAAUAUAAAUUCAUCCCAUUCUGAAAGCACUUCAUACACAAUGUUCUUUUUUGUUACAGGCUCGACUGAAAUAGAGAUCUUGGUCUCAGCAUAACCAUUAUUAUACAUGUCAUUUACUGGUAGCUGGCAGUCUCAGACUGAAUUGUAGGCCUAAACUACUUUAAAUACACCCUUCUCUGUCUCUUUCCUCUUGCAGCAUAUGAGACAUCUGUAUGCUGUAGCGGUGGAGGUCCAAGGAGCCUAGAAAUAACUAAGUCAGAAAAAGACCCGAGGGGGGAUAGGAAGUGUGUGCAUCUCAAGAGGCUGGGUCGUAGCAGGUGCUUCCUCUGACAAACACACACGACAGACCGCUCCUUAUACUGACAUCUUCCUAGUCCAGUUAACCUUGUCACUCUUGCUCUUUCUCUCACACACAAGCGCUCUAAGGCUGUGCCCUUGCCCAGGUAAGAGAUGCCCAUACAAUCUCCAACAUACAUUGUAUAAAAAAAAGGAAUGACCAAAUAAUGUGUUUUUGUGAUAAGAUUCAGUUUAUUUUAGUGGACAUCGCAAUGAAAACGACAAAACCAUGAUUUGUAAAAAUGUUUACUAAAAGAGGUCUAGCUUAUUCUGAAAUGUAUUGUAUGCAUCACCUUCCUGAAAGGUAUUGCAUAGAACUAACUUGCUAGAAGUUAUUAUUUAUGGUAAACAAAGUGUAUUGAUCUACUUCAGUAACACAUUGAUUACUUCAUUUUGAGUAAACUGUACUGUGACAGUGAGUGAUAGACUUAACUGGGCUAGUUAGAUAUUUUUUUAAUAAAUCACAUCUUGUUUUAGCAGGUUAAUGAUAAUGGCAGGGAGAAGUAAUCUUUUUAGAAAUGAAUAGAUUUGCGAGACAGUUUUCCAUUAUUUUUUACCUCCCCACAUUAUAAUUGGAAGAGAAAGUGUAAACUAUAACAUAGCCUAUUGCUAGAAAGGUAACUCCAAACACAUUUUCACUAAUAGCAGCUGCUUAUCUGGUUAAACAAAAGUUAGCCAUGUGUUGGCAAAAAUGUCCAAGUCAAGAAAGCCUACCAGCAGCUACGACUGGUACUCACGGGUGCUUUUUCAAAGCCUAUGUCAUAGACUCCAGUGAGUGUAAUGAGCUCCAAUGAGUGUAAUUUGCUCAAUAUUAGGAGUUGAGAAAUAAAGUUAUUAGAAAGAAGAUAUUCUCCUCUUUUUUACAGAACAAAAGAAAAAAAGAAAACGGCACCCUGCAAUAACUCUGCGGACUCCAAGCAAAUAGAAACUGAAGAAUGGAAGGCUCCAGAAUGUCUCUCCAUCUUCUCUUCUUCCUUCUGAUUGGACAAGCUUCACACACCAGCAUUACUCAGCCUCAGACCACUAAUGCCAUAUAUCCAACUGACAUAACCUCAAUUACCCAAGAGGAAAAUGACACCUCCAGCUCUCCCACAAAGGCCACCACGGGCUGCCUCAUCAAGCCCCAGUUGGGCUUCAUAGUGGUGACCUGCGCCGGGGGCCUGGUCCUGUUUCUGCUCGUCUCUACUGUGGUCCUGGCCUCCCAGGUGUGCAGUCUUAGGCGCCAAGCCCGUGCCCCUCGCCCCGCCCGCAGUAACGUGGACCUGGUGAGUGGCGCGGGCUACUGGGACACAGAGCACUCUGAGGGGGGCAUAGUGGGGCCCUGUGAUACCAGUGUCAUGUUGGAGGAGGUCCGUUUGGAUGGAGAAGAGGAUGAAGAGCAGGGGGAAGAAGAGGAGGAGGAAAGGGAGGAGGAGCAGGCAGAAGGGGUCAGAUGCCAAACAGGGGAUGCGAGAACAACUGGCGAAAUAGCCAUGCAGAUGCAGAGUUCCAGCUCCAGGGAUUUGUGUCUGGAAAUCCCCCAGGAUCUAGAGAACAUGCCCCUAGUGGUGUGAGUAGAGCAUUGCAUGCACUCCCUCUCCAGCCUCAGAGAGCCAUGGCCUGGCUCAGAGCUGAACUUCACUCAGGCAUAGAUAUCAACAGGCCAGAUCAGCUCCAGUCUUGUGCCUCAAGUCAAAACAAAGAGUAUUUGUUAUUUUUUUAAUAAGUACUCGAGCUAUAUGUAAUCAAUUUUAGGAGCUUUUACAUAUUUGCUUUGUAAACUGCAUUAAUCUGAUUUGGAAUGAUUUUGUCUCAAAUUUAUUUCUAUAGAGAACAUUUGAAUAGGCUGUUGGGAGCAGCAAGACAUUAAUUUGAAAUAAUGUGCUACGAACAGCACACUACUGCCAACUGCCCAAGUUAAUUAAGCUUACAGCUUACUACGAAGGUUCAGGAUCUUUGUACGGGGGGGGGGGGUCACUUAUAUUUUACAUUUGAGUCAUUUAGCAGACGCUCUUAUCCAGAGUGACUUACAGGAGCAACUAGGGUAAAUUACCUUGCUCAAGGGCAUAUUGACAAAUUAAAAACAGUGACCUUUCGGUUACUGGCCCAAAGCUCUUAACUGCCAAAUUCAAUCAUAUUAGCAGUACACUAUGCCAACUUCCCUUAAUGGCAGAGGUGUAACAAAGUGUAACAAAAAGGUAUUAAGCUUACGUAGAAAGUAUAUUUUGUUGAAGAUUGAAAUGAUAGAAACUCAACUCCAAUAUGUAAUAGAAUGGAAGCCCCCCCCCCAUCUCUAUUGACACUGUAGGCUAAAAGAUUCCUUCUCAGCAAACAAGCACUCAAACAUUGUCUACCAUAUAUAUAACUGAAUGUGGUGGCUUCUCCCCAAGACAUUAAAUGUCAAACAUUGUAUAAUAUAUGUUGUCCAAUCUAAACUGUCCUAUCUACCUGUAUUAAAAAAAUAUAAUAAUAAAACACACUCAAAUAUGCCAACAUGCUUGCUGGUCAGAUGUGAGUUCAGUUAAAAUGAUUACUUUCCACCAACUUGAUGUGAACUUCCUUUCCUUUAUCUGAAGUGAUUCCAUGCACAAAUACUAUACCAAGGGUAAACUUUGAACAUCUUGUUGCCAUCGGUGGCUGGGCACAGAGAUAGCAUUGGGCCUGCCAAGCCUACUUGUUACAUUAAUAAGUCUUCCCCUCAACCUUCACGUGUCAGUCGAGCAGUCACAGAACACCUAACUCAUUUGUUUCCACUCCUCUCUACUAAGGCUAACUUCUUUUCUCUUUUCUGUAAAAAUACAAUAUUUGUUUAAAUGCCACAACCCAAAUAAAUGGAGGUUUUGUGAACAGGUGUGAAUGAAUGGCAUUCUUGUUUUGAAUCGAUGGAGUAAGAACACAAGUGUUUAGACAACAGUUUCAGAA